rnacentral:rRNA from 1 species
GACAGAGGUGCCGAGCGUUAGGCGGAAUCACUGGGCUUAAAGCGUGUGUAGGCGGGUCCGGAAGUACCUUGUGAAAUCCCACGGCUCAACCGUGGAACUGCUCGGUAUACUGCGGGUCUUGAGCUGUCUAGGGGCGACCGGAACAAACGGUGGAGCGGUGAAAUGCGUAGAUAUCGAGAGGAACACCUGCGGCGAAGGCGGGUUGCUGGGCCGACACUGACGCUGAUGCGCGAAAGCCAGGGGAGCGAACGGG